rnacentral:rRNA from 1 species
UUUGGUUAAGUUAGAAAGGGCGCACGGUGGAUGCCUUGACACUAGGAGUCGAUGAAGGACGGGACUAACGCCGAUAUGCUUCGGGGAGCUGUAAGUAAGCUUUGAUCCGAAGAUUUCCGAAUGGGGAAACCCACUAUACGUAAUGGUAUGGUAUCCUUACCUGAAUACAUAGGGUAUGGAAGACAGACCCAGGGAACUGAAACAUCUAAGUACCUGGAGGAAGAGAAAGCAAAUGCGAUUUCCUGAGUAGCGGCGAGCGAAACGGAAUCUAGCCCAAACCAAGAGGCUUGCCUCUUGGGGUUGUAGGACAUUCUAUACGGAGUUACAAAGGAACGAGGUAGACGAAGCGACCUGGAAAGGUCCGUCACAGAAGGUAACAACCCUGUAGUCGAAACUUCGUUCUCUCUUGAAUGUAUCCUGAGUACGGCGGAACACGUGAAAUUCCGUCGGAAUCUGGGAGGACCAUCUCCCAAGGCUAAAUACUCCCUAGUGAUCGAUAGUGAACCAGUACCGUGAGGGAAAGGUGAAAAGCACCCCGGAAGGGGAGUGAAAGAGAUCCUGAAACCGUGUGCCUACAAAUAGUCAGAGCCCGUUAAUGGGUGAUGGCGUGCCUUUUGUAGAAUGAACCGGCGAGUUACGAUCCCGUGC